AUUGAACGCUGGCGGCAGGCUUAACACAUGCAAGUCGAGCGAGCGGCGGAGGGGUGUGUAAUGUCUGGGAAACUGCCUGAUGGAGGGGGAUAACCAGUGGAAACGGUAGCUAAUACCGUAUAACAUCAGAUGUGCCCAGAUGGGAAUAGCGAGGAGGGGGGGUAAGGGCUCACCUAGGCGACGAGCCCUAGCUGGUCUGAGAGGAUGACCAGCCACACUGGAACUGAGACACGGUCCAGACUCCUACGGGAGGCAGCAGUGGGGAAUAUUGCACAAUGGGCGCAAGCCUGAUGCAGCCAUGCCGCGUGUGUGAAGAAGGCCUUCGGGUUGUAAAGCACUUUCAGCGGGGAGGCGUUACUCGCAGAAGAAGCACCGGCUAACUCCGUGCCAGCAGCCGCGGUAAUAC
rnacentral:rRNA from 1 species